rnacentral:rRNA from 1 species
CGGACGGGUGAGUAACACGUGGAUAACCUACCUAUAAGACUGGGAUAACUUCGGGAAACCGGAGCUAAUACCGGAUAAUAUAUUGAACCGCAUGGUUCAAUAGUGAAAGACGGUUUUGCUGUCACUUAUAGAUGGAUCCGCGCCGCAUUAGCUAGUUGGUAAGGUAGCGGCUUACCAAGGCAACGAUGCGUAGCCGACCUGAGAGGGUGAUCGGCCACACUGGAACUGAGACACGGUCCAGACUCCUCGGGAGGCAGCAGUA